UGUUGAGUAGUCAAAAAUUGUUUAACGAUUUGUUCUGUUAAUACUAUUUUGGGCUUCCAUUUAUGCAUUCGUGGAGACUGGAAGCGUGUACGGAUACGACGUCCGAAUUGUCGUCGAAUUUAAGGGAAAGCUUCAUAUAUCCAAUACUAAAAUAAAAAUAAAAGAAAUAUUAAAGUUUUUAUAUGAUUAAAUUAUAUGUAAUAGGGAAAAAAAUAAAAGAAAAAUACCUGGAAUGCAAGUAGAUAACCAUGUAACGUAUAUUUACAAUCUGUUUGGUCAUUUUGUUGCAUCCUUCGUAUUCUUUCAAGGUGUGAUUCUUGCAAUGAAUUUAAUAAAAUAAAGUAUGCUUUACGUCCCCAUGGAUACAUAAGAAAUUAUCAAGUUGUUCAACCAUUCCAAGGGUUCUGAAAUCGAUGUGUCUUCCAUUUGGUUUUAAAACGCAUUCGACGAACAUAACUAAUCUUAACUUGAAUUUAUCUUCUUGAUCUUCACACAUGUGAAAUACUUCAGAAAGUCUUUUCAUAGAAAUUCUUUUUGAACCAUUGAAGUAUUCAUCCCUAAGGCGAGUAUUAUUAAAAUUGAGAUCAACAGCUACUUCAUGAUAUGGUAAUUUGGUGAUUAGACAAAAUCCUUGCAUGCCAAAACAGGCCACAUGAUCGUCUAAUCGUACCCAAACUUCAUUUUUUUUGCCGCAGUUGAAAAGUCUCAUUAUGAACUUGUGUAUUAAUUUGCUACUAAAUUUUUCAUUUUGUUCUUUAUACAUACUUCCAUAGAUAAAUCUGUGAAAGUGACUGCAUAAUAAAGAAGCUUGAUCCUUUUCAUCUAUAAGUUCGACAAAAUCUUUAAGGUUCUGAUGAUUUGCAAAUUGAGUAAUGGUAGCAGAGAACCAUUGAUUUGGAAAUAAUAUGUAUUCUAACUACAUCUGCAA
rnacentral:lncRNA from 1 species